AAACUUUUCGUUAAAAAUGCUCUGACGCCACCCGAGAUCAUUUAACAGUGGCAACUGAAAGUGAAAGCAAGGAAGCAAAUCGCUGCUUUUCACCAACAGUGCGUCCGUUAGCAGUGAUAUUUGCAUUCAUGUACAGGAUCGUAACUUUGCACAUUUGAAGAUGUACCUACAGGUCUGUGUUUUGGUGUCAGUAUUGCUGUUGAGCGUUGAUGAGCGUCUGCUGGUAUCAGGAUCGAGUCGCUCCGUAUCUGCAUAUGCGGGUGAGGACGUCACUCUGAACUGCUCUAUCGACUCUCACAUCAAACCUGAACACAUUGAAGAGGUUUCAUGGAGGAAAACAGAUGGAGAUGAAGAUAUUCUGGUUCUGCUUUACCUGAACAAUAAGGCUUUUCCAGAUUUAACAGAUGAGCAAUACAGAGACAGAGUUGAGUUCUUCAUUGAUGAAAUCCCCAAAGGAAACUUCUCUCUCAGACUGAAGAGUGUCAGAACUGAGGACAAAGGAGUUUACAUGUGUCAUGUGUUUGCUGGAGUACUUUCAGCCAAUUCAACUGUGGUACUUGAGAGACUGGGUUUCUCUGUUUCACACAUAAUGGUGUUGAUUCUCUGUGUUUCUACAUCCGUAUCUGCACUUCUGCUCUGCUUUAUAAUCUACUGCAGAUUACAAAGUGAAGAUCUAGCGCUCAGUCUUCAGAUGUGUCUAGUCAUCUGUCCAAAUUUGAUCAUGUGUCUUGCUUUUGUCUUCUGGGGUGUUUCUGAAGGGUCUCUGUUUGAGACGGUCUCUUGUUCUGCUCUGUUUUUUCUGAGACCUCUCAUAUUGCUUUGGGCGGCUCCAUAUGUAAAUGAGUUCACAGGCAAAAUCAAAACAUUUAUUCAAAAUUACAGCUGUGAAACAGAAUAUAUAGUUUUCUCGGCUGUUUUUUAUUCAGUUCUGUUCAAAUCUGCCUUGAAAAAAAGUAUGAAUUACGUGGGAUUUGAAGGUGUCAUGAUUAUACUCUACUUUGUAGUGGCGCUUCUGUUCGAACUCAUCUAUAUAAUUUUUUGUUCACAUCCAGAACAUCAGAUGAGGGCUGCAAUAGCUGCCGGAGAAACAGUUUUGUCAAAAGUGGAAAAGUGAAUCUUUCAUGCCUAGUCAGUUCUGUUUCUUGGGCCCUGGAAAGAAUGGAAUUAUAACAUUGCCAAUUGAGAGCUGCUGGCAGUCCGUCUGGCUUUAGGGGAGUGGUGUCACUGGCUCGAGGUAGCAGCUGUUCCAUUCAUUGUGUGGACUGUUUCCCAUUUCUAGAGGAAGUUCUGUCGGCAGAGUGAAGUCUCCGCAAGUUACUCUUCCAUCCUCUGGCUCUCGAGUGGAUGGUUUGAUGCCUUCCUCCCAUUACCCCUUCCUCUGGAGUCAGCAACCGACGUAGACAGAGUGUGCCCACAACUCCUUGCCGGUGUCAGGGCUUUGCCCGUUUAUGUGCUGCUUCCUUUGUUUUCUUGGCAGGGUGCUGAGGCUGCUGUUCCCUCGUUUCAGACUUUUAUUCAGUGUUGUUGCCAUACCUGGAGGAGGGCAAGGGAGGCUUUGAUCCAGACUUGGGAAUCUAAAAUUGAUUACAUUUAAAUUUCUUUGAGCUAUCCUCAGUAAAGUGAAUCUCUACAUUCACUUGUGGGCAUUUACAUCUUUUACUUUCAAAAUGCAAAUGAGUGUUUGUAUUUCGUUCACAUUGUCUACUUUGUUUGUAAAGUGUGUAAAAUUAAUGUUUGGAUGUUUUGACGGCUGUGUGUAAAGUUUUUUUAAAUUUAAGAGUUUUUCAAAAUUCACUUUGAUAGUGUGUGUGUGUGUGUGUACUUGUGUUUAUAUCAUAUUCAAGGGGAAAUGGUGAAUGAUUGUGUGAAGUUCAGUACUUGUUUAUCAUGGCUCUAAUUUAAAAUCAGAUUAACCCCUUUGAUUAUUUGAUAAUUUUUUGUUUUCUUAUACAGUGCUGGCUAAAUUCAUUGAGAGAAUAAGUAAACAGAUACAAUCUAUAUUUGAGGUUUUGGCUGGUAUAAGCUUUGAUGUUCUACCUUUACUACAAUUCAUCAUCCUGUUUUACGCCUUUGGAUCUGCCAGAGGAGGAUACUUCAUUGUUGCCGUUUUACCAGUAUUUCUCAUAGUAACAAGAUACAAUUGGGAUGAUACAUGUGGCCAAAAGAUGGGCUGUUCACCUUCAGUCGGGAGAUCAGUAUGGAUAAUUGUCAUGUUAUCAGUCAAUGCUGUAAUGGUUUAUUUCUACAUCAUAACUUUGGAAAAUGAAAAAGAUCGUAUGGGAUGGACCUGUACGAUUGCGUUUCUUCAGUUACUCUGGGCAGUGAUCAACUUCGCAUGGUCAUUUAAAUGUGAAUUGCACCGUUUUGUUCCAGUGUAUCUGUUUGGAUCAGUCGUUGUUGUUUUAGUGAACGCUGUUACACUGAUGACUGAACUGAUACUGAAAACAGUGAAUGGUUAUGGUGCAGUUCGAGAUAUGAGAGUCGUCGUCUUUUCCUCUGAAUUCAUCUUCACUCUAUUUCUGAUGACUUUACUGGUAUUUGAGCCACUGAGCUGACCGAAUUCCUAUCCAGGAGAAGCGGCCAGAUGCCGUAGACAACAGGAGUCAGAACAUCAUAGUACUUCCAACAGCAGAAGACACCAGGAGUGGGGAAGGUUCUGGAUGCUUAUGUCUGAUCCCUCUGCCAUGGCUGCUGAUAUUGAGAGAGCUGUCACCCUGCCAAGCACUCCUCGAUUAGUUGUCCCAGAAGAGAUACUUCGUGGCGCAGACACAUGGAAUAUCUCCGUGGAAGGAGCAUGUGUGAUGGGGCCCCACAGUAACCUCCUGCAUGGACUGGCAGCAGUCUUCGCUGCCUACUUUGUCUUCAACUUGCAAUAUCCAGCAGAAGUCGCAAGCACACUUGAAUUCCUUCAGAGGUGGUGACCAUAGACCUCCAUUACAUGACUGACAGACAGAUA